GGCAAGACAAAGGUGAAGUGGGCAGAGCUAAGGUUCUGGGGUGGGGGCUUGGAGGACAGAAAGGCUCUUGGGAAGGAGGAGACAGACAGGAAGAGAGGAGGAAGGAGGAAGCCACUGUGGGUUAGGUGGAGAGAGAACCGUGUGGGCUGGGAGGAAGGGCUCCGAGAAUGGCGCAGAUAGAGACAGCAACCCAGAUGAAGAAUAAGCCAGUAUUUACGGAAUUAUGGAUGGCAGCAACGCUUCAGGGAGACCAGACUCGUUCCACAGAAUGGGCAAGUUGACGGCAACGCCUCCUUUCACUAGAUACCCCAUCUCCAUCCUCAUGUUGGAGUCAAGGCUUGGGCACCCGUCCGUGGAGGCUGGUCCCCAAAGUUCUCCUCCCCAACUAAAACCUCACCUUCUCUUUGCGAAGCCUUUCUAACCCUGUGCCGAUGAUUACACACAUACACAAAUGCUUUUGAAUCCUCCCUCAGUACCCUCACAAACCCAUACAACAUACUUGCCCAUAAAUACUGUCUUGUACAGAAUUACCUGACGGGGGCUCACACCCAUGUCUGUAUGCAUACACAUGCUCCCAUGCACCCGAAUUGUCACUCAGAUGCAGCCAAAGGGCAGGAGUCUCUGGGCAUUUACCUCUCAGAUGCUGCUGCAGUUUCUUCUCCAACGGCCUGUCUUGUUUUCCCUGAAAUCCAACUGCCCUUAAAUAGCUGUUCCUUCCUCGGGGUUGGGGGUGGUGAGGUCCAGCCAGGGAGUAGGAGGCGUGGCCAAAUAGUGGGCUCAUAGAUGGGCAUACCCAAACGCCCUGGGUAAUUCCCCUUUCUUCCCCUCAUCAUCUGGCAGGACAGCCUCGAGACCUGGAAAAUCCUUCAUUUCAUGGGUUGAUGCCAUAAUAAAUUUCAGCUGAUUUUGAAACCUCGCUCAGCUGCUGAAAAACAGGGCUGAGCUCCUGACUCGGAAAGUUUCCGUAAGCCCAUCUGGGUGUGACCACCAUCACCUCCCAUCAGCCACUUCAAAGAGCGGGCAAGGACUGUGUACAGCAGAGGGAAUGAGGGUGUAAGCCUGGAAUGUUCCUUUCUUCUGAUAAAUUGCGACACUUGGGAAAGGGAAA